rnacentral:rRNA from 1 species
GAUGAACGCUGGCGGCGUGCCUAAUACAUGCAAGUCGAGCGAACAGACGAGGAGCUUGCUCCUCUGACGUUAGCGGCGGACGGGUGAGUAACACGUGGAUAACCUACCUAUAAGACUGGGAUAACUUCGUGAAACCGGAGCUAAUACCGGAUAAUAUAUUGAACCGCAUGGUUCAAUAGUGAAAGACGGUUUUGCUGUCACUUAUAGAUGGAUCCAGGCAGCAUUAGCUAGUUGGUAAGGUAACGGCUUACAAAGGCAACGAUGCGUAGCCGACCUGAGAGGGUGAUAGGCCACACUGGAACUGAGACACGGUCCAGAAUCCUACGGGAGGCAGCAGUAGGGAAUCUUCCGCAAUGGGCGAAAGCCUGACGGAGCAACGCCGCGUGAGUGAUGAAGGUCUUCGGAUCGUAAAACUCUGUUAUUAGGGAAGAACAAAUGUGUAAGUAACUAUGCACGUAUUGACGGUACCUAAUCAGAAAGCCACGGCUAACUACGUG